GAAGUCUAGGUGACGGUUCCGAGACAUCGCCGCCAAGCUGGGCACCGGAGAGAUGGCCGAGACGGACCCCAAGACAAUGCAGGACAUCACCUUGGUGGUGGAGACGCUCUUGCAGCAGAUGCAAGACAAGUUUCAGAUUAUGUCGGAUCAGAUCAUCGGAAGGAAUAUCCUUUUGACUUGGAGGCAGUUUCUUAACUGUGGGGAUGAGCGGGUGGUUUACAAACAGACUAUAAUUAGUCAUCUAGAAAUUGCCUUUUUCCAGAGAGUUCAUUAUUUUUAAUUAUAUGUAUAAGGGGGUACUGGGAGUGACUGAGACCAGAGGCGUUGGAUCCCCUGGAACUGGAGUAACAGGCGGUUGUGAGCUGCCCAAUGUGCAUACUGGGAAGUCCCCUGAAAGAGCCUCGAGUGUUCCUAACCACUGAGCCAUUUCUCCAGCCCCACUUAGAAAUGUCUUUACUGAUCUUGGCUAUGUUGUGUCCCCAUGGAGAACCGUGUCAAGAUCCAGAGACACAGCUGACUACCCAAGCCCCUGUUGGGGGCCCUCCAGAACACCAGUAAAGGGGUUUACUUGGUAACCAUUGGCUGGGAGUGCUCAUGGAGCCCUCCACCCUCCAAUUCUCUUUGUAACCUUACCAACAGGAAACGGGGUCCUCUGGGAUUAAGGGUUGAAGAAACUGAGGCAUAGGGUAGAGAACUCAGCCCAGUCCCCUGGACCCCUGACUGCCGGGCUGUCACUGUAGCCGG
rnacentral:lncRNA from 1 species